GACGAACGCUGGCGGCGUGCUUAACACAUGCAAGUCGAACGGAAAGGCCCUGCUUUUGUGGGGUGCUCGAGUGGCGAACGGGUGUGUAACACGUGAGUAACCUGCCCUUGACUUUGGGAUAACUUCAGGAAACUGGGGCUAAUACCGGAUAGGAGCUCCUGCUGCAUGGUGGGGGGUGGAAAGUUUCGGCGGUUGGGGAUGGACUCGCGGCUUAUCAGCUUGUUGGUGGGGUAGUGGCUUACCAAGGCUUUGACGGGUAGCCGGCCUGAGAGGGUGACCGGCCACAUUGGGACUGAGAUACGGCCCAGACUCCUACGGGAGGCAGCAGUGGGGAAUAUUGCACAAUGGGCGGAAGCCUGAUGCAGCAACGCCGCGUGCGGGAUGACGGCCUUCGGGUUGUAAACCGCUUUCGCCUGUGACGAAGCGUGAGUGACGGUAAUGGGUAAAGAAGCACCGGCUAACUACGUG
rnacentral:rRNA from 1 species